UCAGCUGGUGACCUCAUUUCUAUUCAGUCU
rnacentral:piRNA from 1 species